GGAUGGAGAUCUGAACUGACCAGCAUUUGAAACUUAAUCAUGUGAUAUUUAUCUAGUACUUUAUUUCCCAAAAGACCCCAAACAUUGUUCACAUGGGAAACACUUGGCCCACCACUGAAAUGCAGCUACCUCUGGAGUGGAACACAUCAGUUGUGUCACAAUAAAACAGAACACCACAGAACAGUUUCAGAACAGAAGAAGAUAUCUGUAUUAAGUGAACCUACAGAGGGGAUUUGGGUUCGUUAUAACCCAAGGCAGAUUUUUAGUUCUCAGAAGACCAGAGUUAAUAUCUAUACCAAAAAUCCCAAGUGAAAAGCAUUGAGUGGUGAGUGUCCAAAAGGGUGCAGAGAACUUAAUAGCACAGAUGCAGUGAUCAAGGUUAAAAGAAAACAAGGGAAGAAUCCAGUUGUUGAAGACUGAAAUGCAUGCCACGGAACCAGUCUCCACCUCAUUAACAUCAAAGGUCAUGCCCAGGCCUGUCAUACGUCUACAAGUGAAACCUCCCACUGGCCAAGAACAAUGAUCUGUGGUGAACUGGAGCUUCAAGAGUCCGUAUCUGCAGAGGUGCAGGUAAAUAAAGUGCCAGCAGUUCACCAGAGGCUAACCCUAGCAAUCCACCUUUGGCUUAUUGUCCACCCUUAAUCAUAUGAGAUGGAGACGUCCUCCUGCUUCAUUCCA